GAUGAACGCUGGCGGCGUGCCUAAUACAUGCAAGUCGAGCGAACAGACGAGGAGCUUGCUCCUCUGACGUUAGCGGCGGACGGGUGAGUAACACGUGGAUAACCUACCUAUAAGACUGGGAUAACUUCGGGAAACCGGAGCUAAUACCGGAUAAUAUAUUGAACCGCAUGGUUCAAUAGUGAAAGACGGUUUUGCUGUCACUUAUAGAUGGAUCCGCGCCGCAUUAGCUAGUUGGUACGGUAACGGCUUACCAAGGCAACGCUGCGUAGCCGACCUGAGAGGGUGAUCGGCCACACUGGAACUGAGACACGGUCCAGACUCCUACGGGAGGCAGCAGUAGGGAAUCUUCCGCAAUGGGCGAAAGCCUGACGGAGCAACGCCGCGUGAGUGAUGAAGGUCUUCGGAUCGUAAAACGCUGUUAUUAGGGAAGAACAAAUGUGUAAGUAACUAUGCACGUCUUGACGGUACCUAAUCAGAAAGCCACGGCUAACUACGU
rnacentral:rRNA from 1 species